rnacentral:misc_RNA from 1 species
AUUGGGGUCUCGAUGCCUCACUGGUGCGAUUCCACGGAGCUUCAGACGAAGCGGAGUAACUUCGGACUCUGGAAGUCGUGUGAGGAUAUCGGCAGACCAGGGGAGCACGUGCCCAUCUGUCAGUUCUCCCUUAACGUCCAGAUUAUCUCUGUCCAGAUCCUUGGGGUCCUCGGGGUGCUGGGAACCGUAGCCACACCCUGUCUGGUGCUGGCCGCCAUUCUCAAGGUCGAGGACAAAUGUAGGACGUCCGUACUGUCCAUAUUGUCAGCCCUCGGGACAGCUUCAUUCAUCAUUAUUGGAGUGACCGUCUUUGGAUUGGAGGUUCCCGAUGAGAACUGGAGGCUGUCCUGGGCGUUCGGACUUUCCGCGGCGGCAGGGGUGGUGUACGUGGGCGUGUUUGUGACCUUGACAUGGACUGUAAUCAGGAGGAGAUCAGCGCCCUCAUCAGUGGCAGAUUGACCUACAUCUGUGUACCAGCAUGGCGUUUAAAAUUGAUUAAGUGUUUCAACUGGAGGAUAUCAGUAAGACUAAUUCCGGAGUUUAGGGUCACUCAAUCAAUACAUUGUAUGACAAAGAUUCAUUACCUUGGGGCAGAUCUUGGUCUUACGUCCGCUUACGACUUUGGACUCGUCAUAUAGUCUAGAUUUGAUUUAUAGUAUCCUAAGAUCUGAACCUUUUGAUUCCUGUAUGACGAAAUUCCUAAAUUACCAUUUACACCUGAAAAUGAAAAGGGCACCGAGAAUUAAAGUUUCACCUUAAUUCAUAUACUCCUAAAGAAAAUGUAUUGCAAAAUUUAACCCCAACAGCGCGUUCAGAAAAAUGUUCCGUCACAUUAACUUGCCGUCACGCUAACAAAACCUUACACUACACGCCGUCGCACUAUUGCUCUAUUGCGAUUAACUCCGUACAACGUAGCGUCGCGCUAUCGCUAUUUCGAUGUGCGUGUUACCGUGAUUGCGUUUGAUGUUACAGCGCAAUAGCGUAUUGUGUAGCAGCGCGACAGAAAGUGUUGUGUAAGCGAUAGCGCGUUGUGCGAAAUUGUAUUAGGACGAUGGCGUACUGUUCGUUAUGAUACGCGAGACAGAGCUGUGUUAAAUUGCGUUAGCGUUACGGUCUGUUGUACUAUGAUGUGCUAUUGCGCUGGUGUCAGCUUGACGGCGUUCAUGUUGUGUUUGAUAACAAGACGACGAAGUAGUUUUCUCCAUAGCGCUAUUGAGCUUCAGCAAAUGACCUUAUACGGCACUAUUACAUAAUUAUUGCAGGAUGAUGACUGUGUUAGUAUCAUCAUAAGAUGGAAUUCAAAGAUUACAUGCAUGUAAGCGAAUGUGUAAAAAUUAUUUUAAGAUGAAAUGUAAGAUUAAGUGUAAGGAUUGUUAUAAUAUGAAGCGUAAGAAUUGUAGUACAUGUACGAUGAUGCAUAAGGAUCAUUGUAAAAUAAAGUGUAAGGAUUAUUGUAAAAUAAAGUGUAGAGAUUUUUAUAAGGUGAUAGUAUAGAUUGGUUUACGCUGAAGUGUAAGAAUUGUUGUAAGAUAAAGUGUAUUGAGUGUAAGGAUUAUUUUAAGAUGAAGUGUAAGGAUCAUUGUAAUAUGAAAUGUAGAGUUAAAUUCAUUGUAAGAUGAAAUGUAAGAUUCAUUGUAAAAUAAACUUUAAGAAUCAUUUUGAUAUGAAGUGUUAGAAACAUUGAAUGAUGAAGUUGCUUGGAAUGUUGUAAGUUAAAUUGUGAAUGUUUUUGUAAAAUAAUUGAAUUUUUGUAGAACGUUGAAUGAUUAUUGUAAAAAUGAACAAAUAAAAAUUAGU